ACGGGAGCUUGCUCCCUUAGGUCAGCGGCGGACGGGUGAGUAACACGUGGGUAACCUGCCUGUAAGACUGGGAUAACUCCGGGAAACCGGGGCUAAUACCGGAUGCUUGAUUGAACCGCAUGGUUCCAAUCAUAAAAGGUGGCUUUUAGCUACCACUUACAGAUGGACCCGCGGCGCAUUAGCUAGUUGGUGAGGUAACGGCUCACCAAGGCGACGAUGCGUAGCCGACCUGAGAGGGUGAUCGGCCACACUGGGACUGAGACACGGCCCAGACUCCUACGGGAGGCAGCAGUAGGGAAUCUUCCGCAAUGGACGAAAGUCUGACGGAGCAACGCCGCGUGAGUGAUGAAGGUUUUCGGAUCGUAAAACUCUGUUGUUAGGGAAGAACAAGUACCGUUCGAAUAGGGCGGCACCUUGACGGUACCUAACCAGAAAGCCACGGCUAACUACGUGCCAGCAGCCGCGGUAAUACGUAGGUGGCAAGCGUUGUCCGGAAUUAUUGGGCGUAAAGCGCGCGCAGGCGGUUUCUUAAGUCUGAUGUGAAAGCCCCCGGCUCAACCGGGGAGGGUCAUUGGAAACUGGGGAACUUGAGUGCAGAAGAGGAGAGUGGAAUUCCACGUGUAGCGGUGAAAUGCGUAGAGAUGUGGAGGAACACCAGUGGCGAAGGCGACUCUCUGGUCUGUAACUG
rnacentral:rRNA from 1 species